CCCUUAGAUGUUCUGGGCCGCACGCGCGCUACACUGAUGCAUUCAACGAGUCUACAACCUGGUCUGAUAGGGCUGGGUAAUCUUUUGAAUGUGCAUCGUGAUUGGGAUAGAUGAUUGCAAUUCUUCAUCUUCAACGAGGAAUGCCUAGUAGGCGCAAGUCAUCAGCUUGCGUCGAUUACGUCCCUGCCCUUUGUACACACCGCCCGUCGCUCCUACCGAUUGGGUGUGCUGGUGAAAUGUUCGGAUCGGCCGUUUGUCGCGGUUUCCGCGUCAUGUGGCUGAGAAGUUCAUUAAACCCUCCCACCUAGAGGAAGGAGAAGUCGUAACA
rnacentral:rRNA from 1 species